AGGAGGAACAGCCCCAGUGGCGGGGCCAGCUCUGGAGCCCUGGAGUCAGCUCCUGCAGUAACUACAGAGCUCUCCGUCUGCAGGGCCUGGAGGCUCCGGGGCGGG
rnacentral:pre_miRNA from 1 species